UACGAGGGGGGCGAGCGUUGUUCGGAAUUAUUGGGCGUAAAGGGUGCGUAGGCGGUUUUGUAAGUCUUAUGUGAAAUCUACAGGCUCAACUUGUAGUCUGCAUGAGAAACUGCAGGGCUUGAGUAUGGGAGAGGUGAGUGGAAUUCCUGGUGUAGCGGUGAAAUGCGUAGAUAUCAGGAGGAACACCGGUGGCGAAGGCGGGUCUCUGGGCCGGUACCGACGCUGAGGAGCGAAAGCGUGGGGAGCGAACAGG
rnacentral:rRNA from 1 species